rnacentral:rRNA from 1 species
GACUUUGUCAACUCUCACUCCGCAGAUUAGCGUGCUUGGGCGAGAGUAGUACUAGGAUGGGUGACCUCCUGGGAAGUCCUCGUGUUGCAUUCCC